rnacentral:SRP_RNA from 1 species
GCUGAGCUCGGUAGUGUGAGCUUGUAACCCAAGCGGGGGCAUCAAGGCGGUCGGACAUUGUUUCGGUUCUUAACAGGUAGGGUCUGUUAAGGUUUGAUCUGCAUCGUCCGGUCCAAGUAGGGAGUUGGGCCACGCGACUCGGGCGUAGGCUCGGGUUUCAUGGUCCUUGGAGUUGGGCACCGCGUCAGGCUGGUUUCACAGAGCAGCGACAACCUCCCGCUCCCGUCGGUGGAAGGAUAACGAAUCGGUGCCUCGCUGUCCCACUGAAGCCUUAGGAUCCGAGGUCAAUCGGACGGUCACCUUU